CCUUCGUAGCAUCCCCCCUCUCGACCUCCAAAGACGCCAACAUUCCUGCCGACGUCUUCCGGGAUCUUGUCCAAUUCAAUGCUUCUCAAAGACAAACACUGGAGACAAUAACAUAUGUGCAGCACAACUUGGUUCUGGAGAAAGAAGCCUCCCAAAACAAUGUUUUACAUUGCAGGAUGCCUGAACUCAUAUGACGUCCCUGCAGCAACACGGGAUGAUAAUGUUCUCUAGACACCGAAGUUCUGCUGAUGUUCAAUGUGGACACUUCUGCCAUCCUCUGACAGACGCUCCUGCGUUCUC